GCGAGGGUGGCGGAAUGGUAGACGCGCAAGCUUGAGGUGCUUGUGACCAAUUGCGGUCGUGAGGGUUCAAGUCCCUUUCCUCGCA
rnacentral:tRNA from 2 species